GACGAACGCUGGCGGCGUGCCUAAUACAUGCAAGUAGAACGCUGAAGGAGGAGCUUGCUUCUCUGGAUGAGUUGCGAACGGGUGAGUAACGCGUAGGUAACCUGCCUGGUAGCGGGGGAUAACUAUUGGAAACGAUAGCUAAUACCGCAUAAUAGUAGAUGUUGCAUGACAUUUGCUUAAAAGGUGCAAUUGCAUCACUACCAGAUGGACCUGCGUUGUAUUAGCUAGUUGGUGGGGUAACGGCUCACCAAGGCGACGAUACAUAGCCGACCUGAGAGGGUGAUCGGCCACACUGGGACUGAGACACGGCCCAGACUCCUACGGGAGGCAGCAGUAGGGAAUCUUCGGCAAUGGACGGAAGUCUGACCGAGCAACGCCGCGGGAGUGAAGAAGGUUUUCGGAUCGUAAAGCUCUGUUGUCAGAGAAGAACGAGUGUGAGAGUGGAAAGUUCACACUGUGACGGUAACUUACCAGAAAGGGACGGCUAACUACGUG
rnacentral:rRNA from 1 species